GCAGUGCCUGGGUUCCAAGCCAGGCAAAGUUUCCAAA
rnacentral:sRNA from 1 species